rnacentral:tRNA from 1 species
GCCGGUAUAGCACAGUGGUAGUGCGUUCCCUUCGUAAGGGAAAGGUCCAGAGUUCGAUCCUCUGUGCCGGCA